rnacentral:rRNA from 1 species
UACGAAGGGGCUAGCGUUGCUCGGAAUCACUGGGCGUAAAGCGCACGUAGGCGGAUUCCUAAGUCGGGGUGAAAUCCUGGAGCUCAACUCCAGAACUGCCUUCGAUACUGGGAAUCUGAGUCGGAAGAGGUGAGUGGAACUGCGAGUGUAGAGGUGAAAUUCGUAGAUAUUCGCAAGAACACCAGUGGCGAAGGCGGCUCACUGGUCCGGUACUGACGCUGAGGUGCGAAAGCGUGGGAGCAACAGG